rnacentral:rRNA from 1 species
AACGAACGCUGGCGGCAGGCCUAAUACAUGCAAGUCGAACGAGAUCUUCGGAUCUAGUGGCGCACGGGUGCGUAACGCGUGGGAAUCUGCCCUUGGGUUCGGAAUAACAUCUGGAAACGGAUGCUAAUACCGGAUGAUGACGUAAGUCCAAAGAUUUAUCGCCCAAGGAUGAGCCCGCGUAGGAUUAGCUAGUUGGUGAGGUAAAGGCUCACCAAGGCUACGAUCCUUAGCUGGUCUGAGAGGAUGAUCAGCCACACUGGGACUGAGACACGGCCCAGACUCCUACGGGAGGCAGCAGUAGGGAAUAUUGGACAAUGGGGGCAACCCUGAUCCAGCAAUGCCGCGUGAGUGAUGAAGGCCUUAGGGUUGUAAAGCUCUUUUACCCGAGAUGAUAAUGACAGUAUCGGGAGAAUAAGCUCCGGCUAACUCCGUGCCAGCAGCCGCGGUAAUACGGAGGGAGCUAGCGUUGUUCGGAAUUACUGGGCGUAAAGCGCACGUAGGCGGUUAUUUAAGUCAGAGGUGAAAGCCCGGGGCUCAACCCCGGAACUGCCUUUGAGACUGGAUAACUUGAAUCCAGGAGAGGUGAGUGGAAUUCCGAGUGUAGAGGUGAAAUUCGUAGAUAUUCGGAAGAACACCAGUGGCGAAGGCGGCUCACUGGACUGGUAUUGACGCUGAGGUGCGAAAGCGUGGGGAGCAAAC